CCUACGGGUGGCAGCAGUGGGGAAUAUUGGACAAUGGGGGCAACCCUGAUCCAGCCAUGCCGCGUGUGUGAAGAAGGCCCUCGGGUUGUAAAGCACUUUCAGUGAGGAAGAACGCCUGGUGGUUAAUACCCAUCAGGAAAGACAUCACUCACAGAAGAAGCACCGGCUAACUCCGUGCCAGCAGCCGCGGUACUACGGAGGGUGCGAGCGUUAAUCGGAAUUACUGGGCGUAAAGCGCGCGUAGGUGGCUUGAUAAGCCGGUUGUGAAAGCCCCGGGCUCAACCUGGGAACGGCAUCCGGAACUGUCAAGCUAGAGUGCAGGAGAGGAAGGUAGAAUUCCCGGUGUAGCGGUGAAAUGCGUAGAGAUCGGGAGGAAUACCAGUGGCGAAGGCGGCCUUCUGGACUGACACUGACACUGAGGUGCGAAAGCGUGGGUAGCAAACAGGAUUAGAUACCCCAGUAGUC
rnacentral:rRNA from 1 species